rnacentral:lncRNA from 1 species
GCCUUAUGAAGAACAUGCCUUGCUUCCGCUUGCCUUCUGCCACGAUUAUAAGUUCCCUGAGGUCUUCCCAGCCUUGCAGAAAUGCACCUCUGAGGCAUUAAAGAACAUUUGGGGAAGCUGAAAUCCAGGAGCUACACCAGCAGCAGAAGUGGCCACUCCUCCAAUCACCUGGCAGUCUUCCCAGGCAGAAGGUAGAAGAUGCCUGGCCUCCUUGCCAGCACUCCUUCCUUGAGCAUCCCAGUGGCCAAACCACCACCAGCCGAC